ACAAUUUUUAUAAUUCUAAAUUUUCAUUCACAUUAUUUUUUUGGGAAAACUUCAAAAACCCUCCCUGUGGUUUCAUGCAUUCUCACUUUAGUACCCUGUGGUUUAAAACGUAUCAAUUUGCUCCCCUGUGGUUUCGUUUUUAUCUUUUCAGAAGCUUUUUCGUUAAUAUUUUAUUAAAUUAUAUACAAAAAACUUCAGAUAACCAUCUAUGUUUAUCGAAUAUUCACUUUAGUAUCCUUUAAUUUUAAUUUUGUCACUGAUUUAAGAAAAAAAAUAAUAAAAUUGAUAACAAAAAGAGAAAAAUGAAACCACAAGGGGGCAAAUUGAUACGUUUUAAACCACAGGGUAUGAAAGUGAGAAUGCAUGAAACCACAGGGGGGGUUUUUGAGAUCAGUUUUGCCUAUUUUUUUUUUAAUAAAAUCAUUAUGGUAUAAAUUCAUCCACUUGAUUUUCUAAUUCCUAUAUAUAUUUUGUAUAAAGAGAAUAUAGUGUAAAUGGAGAAGGACAUUGUGCACAUACAAGCUAGCGCUGCUGGUGUCCAUUACAUGAGCAGGCUGCCCUUCUUCUGAAAAGUUGAAGUCUUAACGAAAAAUAAUUUGAGCCUCAGCAGAAGUAUUUGUACAAUUGCUCAAAAUUUGUUCUUGUAUUUAAAAUCAAAACUGAAUUUCUGCAAAGUUCCAUGAUGCUAAAAAGAUAGAAAAUAAAAAAAAAAAAAGAAAAAAAAAAAAAGAUACUUUUGAAAUUGAUUUUGAUUUUGAUCAAAAUUCAAAAAUUGUAUUUUCUUAUUGGUUAGAAUCAAAUUAAAUUUAGAAUUUAAUUCUUAAAUUUUAAAUUUGAAAUAUGUAGAUUGGAAUUUUUAGAAUUAAAUUAAAAUUUAAAUUUAAGAUUUACUUUUAAAUUUAAAUUUCAAAUCUCAAAUUUUAAUUGUUAAUUAAAUUUCAAUUUUAAAUUUUAAAUUUAGAACAAAAUUUUAAAAUUGGAUGAUUUUAGGAUUUUAAAAUUUAAUAUAAAUUUAAUUUUAAUUUGGAAAAAUACAAGUUUUAAUUGUCAAAUUGAUAAAUUUAAAAUUUUAGAUUUAAAGUUUGAAAAUUUGAAAUUGAAAAUUUAUUAUUUUGAAAUUUUGAAGAUUGUAAAAUGUGAUAUAGAAAAUUCAAAAUUUAAUUUAUUUUUUAAUAUUAAAAUGAUAUAAUUUUUAAGACUUUUACAAUUUUAAAUAUAAAUGUUAAUUUUAUUCAAAUUUAAUAUUUAAAUUCUAAAUUAUUUAAUAUAAUUUAUUAAAAUAUUAAGCUAUAUAUAACAUCAAAAAAAUUUGCAACGUGGUUCGGAAAUCACUUUAGAAAUGUGUUAUUUUUUUACGAGUAAAUUAUAUACCAAAUAUAGUGUUCUUAAGUGUAGGCUUAACGGAAUGGACUAGGGCUGGCAAUGACGGCGAGCCGUGGCCGCGUUCGACUCGUGUUGGCUCGGAUAUUCGGAUCUCGCUCGAUCGACUUCGAAAUGAAAUGAGCUGAGCUUUGAAAAAAAUAAAAGUUCGAAAUUCAUUUCAAGCGAGCUUGAGUAUACUGGCUCUGUUCGAAUUAGGCUCGAAUAAUCCGUCGAAAAAAGCUUCGAAUAUAUAUAUAUAUAUAUAUUAUAUAUAUAAUAUUAUAUUAUGAUAUAAUAAUAUAAUAUAUAUUAUUAUAUAUAUAUAUAUAAUAGUAUAUAAUGUAAUUUAGAUUAUAUAUUAGCUUUAUUUGAAUUUGGGUAUUAUGUGUUGGCCCAUAAAAAUAAAGCCAACAGAGUAACAACUGUUGCAAGUUUUGGACACAACUCAAUUUACUAUAACACGACUCUCUCUUUAGGGCUGUUAUUUGCAAUGAACCACUUAAAACAGUACAUUCAAAUUCUCAGAAUUCUAAUUCCUCCCCCCGCCCAUCUCUCUCGUCUCUCUCUCUCUCUCUGUGUCUCUUUGAACCCUCACCCGAUUCAGGCAGUCACCUAGCUGAUAUUUCUUGAAUUAUUUUGUUUUAAACGUAUUAGGAAUGUUGCCAUUUCAAUUGUAGGGUAAUGUUCUUAAAAUUUAAAACUAUUGAUUAUUAAGUCGAGAAUGUUCAUAUCGGCUCGUUUAGGAGCUCGAGAUCUCGGCUCGGACUCGAUAAGAUUAGGCUCGCUUCGGAGCUCGCUCGAGGAUAAAUUUCAAGCUAGCUUGAGCCUAGAGUUUAGGCCUUCGAAGAUUAAUUUCAAGCGAAUUGAGAUGCUGACAUGAAGCGUCGCCGAGUGUCUUCGGCUCGUUCCACCCCUAUGUGUGAAUGAGGUUACGAGUAUCAGGAAUGGGAAGCUAUCGCACACAUUGUGAAUAUCGGAAUGGAGUCCGUAAGUGUUUGAGCAUGAAAGUAAUGCAUAAACUGGACUAGGUGCACUUCAAUAAGCUAAAGACUAAAGGUUAUGAUAGUUUGUAAGAGCGCCAGAAUAUGAUUUAGGGGCCAGUAUUUCGAAUUUGUUUUGUAUGGAUAUUGGAGUGCAUUUGGGGCUAUUUAGGGCAUCGAAAAAUUUUGAUCCGAAAUUUCACAUCGUUGGAAUAAUCAUUGUAUGCACACAUGAGGUGUGGCGUAGGUGAGAUCCGCGGAAAUUCGGAUAGCGGUGUACAGAACGUCGGAAGGAUGAGAACGAGAUUGUGUUCUUGUGCAAUGGACAAGUUGUACGGGCGCCAGAACUUAGCGUGUUAGGGGUGCUAAAUUUAUUAUUUUUUCUUGCAGUGAAAUAGGUUUUCACUCUUAUGUUGCUUGAGGGCCUAUUUGUACUAACCUAUUAUCUCUAUAAAAGUAGAGGCUCUUGAGAGCUCUUUUCAGCCUCUGCUUCACAAAGCUGUUAUUUUUGCAUUUAGCCCUCCAAACAUCAAAAAUUUUUUGAGGACUUGAAUAUUCAGUAGUGAUUCCAGCAGCGGCCUUGAGAGAUUUGGCUCUUUUUUUUUGUGGCGGAUUAGGAGAUUUUUUAAUUCUGGUGAAAACUUGAUUUGGGAUUGUGGACUCAUGGGUAGAGUGUGUGGAACCAAGGUUUAAUAGUAGUAAUGAGGUUCAGUGUGUUUUAUAUAUUUUUUAUUAAUUUUGGUUAUUUUAGCUGAAUUGUAUUAUUUUUAAUCAAACUUCUGUCGAGCGUGAUUUUAUGUUUGUUGGAUUGGUUUUCCAUCAUCCGAUAUAAGUAGUUUACGAAGUUUGUAACUAAUUUGAGAUUGGAGAUAGUGGAGGUGUAAUUUUGACAAUUUCUUAAGUUAUACGACUAAUUUUGAACUUUGGAUAGAUUGCGUGUAUAUUAUUCUAAACUAUCUUGUUUUAACUGGAUAUUUGCUAUUGGAUUAUGGGUAUGGAUUCUAUGUGGCAUGGUAUAUAUUUUUUUUCUCGUUGACUAAACCAUGUUUAAUGUGUUAGUGGACUGUUGUGUUUGUAUGCCUAAUUCUCCGGAGUAAUUUUCUAUUAAGAUCAGAAAUAUCAGAUGAUGUGAUGGUUGAAUGAGUACUUGUAGAAUGUUUGUAGGAGUUGUAUAGCGCUGAGUUUUCUCGUGCGAGUUGAUAUGAUUCUGUGACUGACGAUAAUAUUGAGUCUGAUUUGUGUAUAGGCUUUUGAAUGAUAACGAUCUCGAGCUAGAAAUUUGUUUUGGGGCGAGGGAUGAAAUCUGGUAAGUAAUAAUUAAAAUCUUAUAUUUUAUUUUAGAUGAUGUUAUGUCUGAUGUGUUUGUGAAGUAAAUUUUCUCAGUUCAUGUGUGAAUUUGUUUGUUAUAUGAUUACAUCCUUUUGAGAAUUAAUAAGUCACUGAUUGAACUCGUAUAGCGUUAUCUUGUAAAAUAUCCUGGUCUGUCUUUGUUUCUGGACCUUUAAUCUGUCGCGCCUAGAAGCAGUAGAUAUAUGUUAUUAAUCCCUAUGAUGAAAUCCUUAGUUUUUGUCUAUGUUGGUUGUGUUUCUUUUCCGUGUUUUCCAAUAGUUUUGUUCUUGUGAGGCUGAUUUUGUGCGGAUGUUUAUGCUAUUCAAAUUUUGCUAAGUGUCAUUGUUCGCGAUCCCACUAGAACUCAGUUUAUGAAAAUGUCGGUUUUGUCUUUUUGGGGAAGGUGGUGUUGGAUGUUAUUCAUUGAACCGGUCAAAUUGCUCCUAAAUUUUGGAAACGUCUUAGCAUGCAAGUUUUUUGUAAGUAUAAUCAUUUAUUUAGAUAGUCAAAACUGUAUAAUUGGGCAUAAUUAAGAUGAAUUGAGUUUGCAGAUAUUAGCCAUGAUAAUAUUAUAUUGCUUAAACUGAGAUUUAAUUUGAGGGAGAAAAAUGGAUAUUAGAUCUUAACAUACUUGUCACUUUUUUUUUUGAGAAUAGCGUUAAAGAAUAAUACAGAACUUAAGGAGUAUGAUUUUUUUGUUAUUUGUGGUUUAUAGCGCUAUGUUAAAGAUGUGGAAGGGAGGAACCGAGAUUGUUUGUGCUAGUUUUGAAAGUUCUAGGGCCAGAACUUGGGGUAAGGCGCAGUAUUUGCUUAUAGUGAUAGGCCGGAAUCUUUGACCGUUAUAGCAAGUCAUUUGGCUUUUUUUGCUUGUUUUGGUUGUAAGGCUAUCUUGGUAGUUUUGCUUUACUUUCAAUUCUGGAGCUUCCUCAAUACAUUGUAAAGGUCAGGUGAAAUAGGUUUUCAUCUUUGUUCUGUGAAGCCUAUGUGUACUAACCUAUACUUCAUAAAAGUAGUAAGUAAAGUCUUUUCGAUGAGAUGCUCUUUUGACUCUGUUUUCAUUAACUCGAUAGAAUAGUGUAUCGUUUGUCUUAGUUUUCUUGCAUGUGGAACCGCUCCAGUUACAAUAAUUUUUCGUAAUUUAUUGGGUUGUUGGAACUAUGAAAUUGCAAGAGAGAUUUAAGAAGCUGAUGUCCUAGCAGUGCUCUAGUUAGAGAAGAUUUGUGCUCGUCAGCUGGCAGGUCUUGCUUGCAAUGCAGGCCGGUUGCGUAGGAGGCAUCCAAUAGUCUGGUUGCAAUAUUUGAGUGUUGUGAGUUGUUGGAUAUGUGAUGUAUGAUGUACGAAUGGAAGUAGUUGUGUGAUAACCUAAUUUAAUCAUACAAGCAAGUAGAACGUGUAGUUAUUUUUAUUUGAUGUUAAUCUCAAAUUGCUUAUUUUUUUUGGAGAUGUUGGUAUUUUUGAGCUGAAAUUGAAAUUUUCUUUGAUUUUUUUUAAUCAAUUUUUGGAGUUGAUCUUUUAGGUGGGGAUUGGUGUUUCAUCAUCCUUUAUAGUUUAGAAUCUUUCCAGUCGUAAUUUCGAGAUUGGAGAGGUCGAGUUUAGCAGAUUUUGAAUGCUUAAGCCUUAUAUUGGGGACUAAUGUUUCGAAUUUUGAGGAUUUCGUGGAUUUUUGAAUCCAAUUUUAACGGAAAAGUUAUUGUGUAGUGAAUUAUGAAUUGAUUGUGACUAUAUUGUGUAAAGGGUGAAAGUUGGGAAUAAGCUGUCGCGCAUUAACUAGGUUGAUAGGCGUAAUGAAAGAAAAUCUUUUUACUAAGGUAGGUUCUCUAGAUUUUGAAAUACUAGGAGUGCUUAUAGUAGAAUUGAGUUCUGGAGUAGGUUCUGACCAGAAAUUGAGUCGAAUUGGUUUUGUAAUAGGCUUUUGAUGACAUUCGAACUCAAUUUGGUGAGGAAUCUGUAGAAUUUUCUUAAGUAUCAGAGGUGAGUUGAGAAGUAAGUUUCACGAUUUCCGAGUUUAGAUUUAGUAAAUCCCAUUUGGAACUGUAUAGGUUAAGCUGCAGGAUUGUUCUGGACCUGAUCUGUGCGCUCUAAGAUAAUAGUAUUGUUGAGAAAUAGAUCGAUACCUGGUUUUUUAGCUUGGUUGUUUUCAGUUGAGGCUGGAUUUUGUUGCGGAGCUUCUCCUAUCAAUUGUCUAGAAAGUGUUGGAUUAGAGAUUAAGCUGGGUUGAUGUUAUCUAAAAAGUGGUUUCGGAAUUGAUUCUACCUAAGUUUUUGAAAUUUCCAGCAUGUGCAUCAUAUUUUUGAUGAUAAAUUUCUAAUUUAAGUAGGUCAAACUGUAAAUUUGCAUUUGUUCUUAGGGAUUAAUAGAUGGAAUUUAAGUUUAUUCAAAGUCGAUAUUCUUGCUAAAUAUAGAUAAUUUAUUAUUUCGAAAUUGGAUUUAAUGUAAUAUGGAUGAAACUUUAAUUACGACACUGGUUCAUUUUUUUGAUGAAUUAGAAACAGUAUGCUAGUGAUGAUGAUUUUCCUUUUGGUUAUAUCAUCACUAUAGGCGUCUGUGCAAUUAUUUUUUAAAUAAGUAUGGUUGUUGCUGAUUGGACGAUAUUCAAUUAUACUUGAAGACGACUUGUUGUUGUAUUUGAUUACAGGCGCAGAAAAGAGUUUAGGCGAUUAAUCUUUGUUCGUGAUACGUUGAUGCUUUUCGUCGGAGUGCGGCUUGUUGUAUCCUAGAAUACUUUAAUUUUUGUGUAAAUACUAAGAAUGUGCGGAGAGUGGCCACAUGUUGAGUGCUUUUCCUGUUUUCUUUGUAGAAUGGUGUUACAUAGUUUGACCAUUGUUAGUUGAGUCUUAGCUCGUUUGUAACUGUUUUGAGUUAGAGAAUUUUCGACAGAGACAUCAUCUUGCCUUAUAUUUCGAUGAUACAAUUUGUUUGGUAGUUUAAGGGAUCUCCUUUAGAUAUGAGCAUUUAAAAGGAUACACUCUACAAUGGACAGUAUUCGUGAGCUAUGACUGAGUGGGCCGUCAUCUGGGUGCGCUUUUGUUAUCUCUUCACGAUUUUCACAGUUCUGUAUGUUUAUUGGGGAUUUGGUGCAAUUGUGUGUAACAUUUCAAAGUGUCAUGGUCAUAAUCGUAGUUAUCAUCUAUCUGUUAUGAGAUGAAGUUUAUUCUAUCUAGUGUAUAAGACGCGUUCGAAUUUUCCAAUGUGGAACGCAAAUCCGAUUGGUGAGUCAUGGCGAUUUGGGGAAUGUAAGGUUUAUCUAAAUUCUAACUGAAUUAUCUCUUUUGAACUCAAAUCGUUGGAAGGAUCGCACCACAGUGUCACUCCGGAUAUGAGGUUGUCAUUAGGUGAGUUGCAACAGUACCAUUUUUGGACAAUUUUUUGUGACAAUGAACCGCCACCCGAUUAAGGGUGGGUGCAAGGUGAGUAGUUAGGAGCAAGCUAGACUGGUAGUUGGAGGUCCUUGAGAUUGGUCAGUUGCGGCUGAUUUGUAGUUAUGGAUGCAAUUAUGUACAGAGAUGGGUAUGGUUUGGAUACGAUAGUAUUAAUGGCAUUAGUUGUAAAGUUUUUCCAGCUUUUUAUAUUUGUCUUUACCUAUCAGUUUCGUACUCAUACUGGUAGACUUGUGAGGUAGCAGAGGAGCAUGCUUGGAAAACAAGGUGACAGGUACACAGAGAAUACUCUAUUUGUGGCAGUGUUCUUACUAUUGUUGCCAUUUUUUUUCUUGCAGAGCCGUGAUGUUUGCUUCUGAUGUAAGGAGUAAGGAGUCGCAGCUAGACCUAUCUUUUAUGUUAUUUUACUAGAGGAGUACGCCCUGCCAGAGCGAGUUUUUGAAGAGUAUUUAGGGAUACUUAUCUAUCUACAUACAGUUGUAUUGUGUUUACUCUCUUAAGAGGUUAUGUAUUUUGAGACUUGUUAUUUAACAAUGGCUUUUUUAAGUUAUAUAUGUUGUUUUAGAGUUUAGCAGCUUCUAUUUAUGGUAAUAAUUUUAUCUUAUGUGCAGAUCAGCUAUCGUUUGUUACACACUACAGAAAAGAUAUUAUUUGUGGCAAAAUAAAUUGGCGUACAUAAUUGUAGACCAUAUAGCUACUUUUACUGUGGCGAUAAAAAAAAAUGCCACUCGAUUAGCGUAACUAAAAGUGGAUAUGACUUUCGCCUACUAAAUGAUUAUUUAACAGCCAAUAUUUGUUUAUCUAGCUAGUCGGCACGUUAAUCGGCACAGAUAGAUAUAAUAUAUUGUUUAGUCACAGAAAACUCGCUAUGUAUACGACGAGGUCGGUUGAUCACUAGCCAAAUAUGUUCGAAAAUUAUAAAUUUAAGUUUCCAGAUACCUCAAUAGCUGUUACAUCAAGUCUAGCAUGAAAACCCGAUCCGCUCAUUUGGACAGCCGACCAUUAUGGGAAAAUAACGUUGGGCUAGCACGGAGGCCCUCCAUAUUAAUAUCUUUGAUAGAGUAUAUUAUAUAUUAAUUGGUCUAUGUUUUAAAAUGUAUUUCGAUUAUAUUCAAAAAUUUUCAAGAUUUCUAAUGAAAUUACUACUGAUGCUCGAUCUGCGCGUUUGAUGUUAAUUACAUAAGCAUAAUGCGAGAUUGGCAAUGUUUAUAGUAUUAUAUACUAUUUAGUUCCAAUUUAUAAAUUAUUCUUAGUAAUUUUUCGACAAUGAUGUCGAAUAGUCUCAUCUUCAAACCGUGCCUUAGCCGCUACUUUCGCGCAUAUGUUUCUACUAUUUACACAAUAAUAUUUUUUCACUUAUGUUUUUAAAUAAAUUAAAUUUUAAAAUUUAAAAUUUGAACAAUUAAAACAUGUAUUGUUUUAAUCUAAAUAAUAAAAAUCAAAAAUUUAUAAGCAUUUAAAAUCUAAUGUUAAAUAAAAUUUAAUUUAAUUUAAAUAUAAAUUUAAAAAUUUAGAAUUUAAAUACAAAUUUGAAUUUUAAAAUUUUAAAGUCUUUAAAUAUUAUAAAUUUAAAUUUUAGAUUUAAAAUUUUUUUCAAUUAAAAAUUGGAAUUUCAACUCAUAAAUUUAAUUUUAAUUUGAAUUGUAGGCGUUAAAAUGUUACAAAUUAAUUAAAAAUUAAAAAUUAAAAAUUUAUAAUUUUAUUUAAAAUUUAAGAGUGAUAAUAUUUAAAUUUAACAUUAAAACUAUUUAAAAUGACGUAUUAAGGAUUCCGGAGGAUCUUUGUUGAGCAGUAUCCAAUCUUCAGGCCAGUUACAACUGCUAUUCUUUCUCAAUGGUUGGUGACAUGCGCAGCAGCUUCAAGCCCACCGUGAGGUCGCCGGUCCGGCCCUUCCACUGCAGCGAGCGAGCGAGAUUGCUUGAUUGCCCUGCGCUUAAGACGGAAUAUGGCCUGGACUGGAAUGUGGCGGCACCUGUGACAAGGGAAGUUGGAGGGAUAAAUUUGAAUUUUAAUUUUCGUAAUAAAACACAAGUUUAGCUGGCAUUCAGUUAAUCCCAACAAAUACAUGCCUCCUCAAUAAUUAUUUAUAUAUCGACACUAUUGUAUGUAUAAUUACGAUCAGAGACUACAAGAUAACCAAAUAUAUAAUUUUGACAAAGUGCUGUAGGUCGGCUUAAGAAUAACCCGAACGCCAAAAACUACUCUCCUUUAGAAAAUUUACGAGAGUCAGAUUAUUUGUGAUAAACAGGCGUCUAAUUGUCUAUUAGGCUAGUCGUGCAGCAGGUAAUAGUUCGGCAUUAUUUAGAAUGUGUUAUAGCUAAAUCAUGGAGGAAUAGUUAUGAGGGGAUUGCAAAUGUUUUAUGCUGUUUUGCGAGCUAUGGAAAAUGGUAUGACUAUUUCAAAAUUUAUAAAAAGACAUCUUAUCGAUUAUAAUGUAUUUGUUAAUUUGUAAACCGGUAUGUGAAAGGAUAUUCUUUCCAAAUUAAUAAAAGUAGCGAGACGCUUACAUGCAGAUUUGAUUAAGACUUUCGAUUGCGCUAAUUUUACUCGAUGCGGUAGUAUAUUUGAUCUCAGGUUAGAUUUAAUGGAAAAAGUAAUAUAUCUCCAUACAAUCAAAGGCCACACUGUUAGAUUCUAUCUGCCCAUUAUGUCAGUUAUUGAUUGCACAUGUAGUUUCUUCAUUUCGAACAAACAACGUAACAUGUGAAAAAAUAGCAACGGAAUUUAGCAGCAAAUAACUUGAACUAUGCUGUCCGCUACUCAGAUCCGCCAUAUCCACCACCGUUAGUCACUGGAGUCGUAUCAUCUUCGAGACUCCUUCCCUCGUCUGGAUUUGUCGUCGAAGGAGCGGCGUUACUCAAGUCUUUGACAUACUUUUCACAGUAUUCUGGACAUUAAAUAAAGAGAAAAGAAUGUAAUAAAAAGGUACACCACCAUUGUUAGUCUUCCAUUUGACACAUACAACCUGCCCCCAUCGAAUAGAGAUCAUAAUAUGAACUUGCGUGACAAAAACAAUUGAUUUAGUGUAGGGCUGAGGGAGGAGUAAUAAUUGCCAUUCAAAAUAUCGGGUUCUUUUAUUUCUCCCAACACUUGAUCGUAUGUUGGAUGCUCCCUUGUUCGCUAUACCGGAUUUGCUCUACGCGAUAAGUACCUGAACCAUGCGAGGAAACCAAUUGACGCUGGGAACCAAGAAAAAUCAAAAUAAAGAAGCACAUGGAUACAUCUUUAUUAUGGAACACCCUAUCUAUGGUAGCCUUCAUCACCUAUCCAGAUAGUUCAUUUCGAAACAAAUUGGACGAAGUCAAGUUUUGACAUAUGAUUAGCUUGCAAAAGAUUGAACGCAUCAUUUCUCAAAGCCUUGAUAGUGAUUAAAUAACACCUUUGGUAGACAAUUGAACUUGCAUACGGAACUGGAGCUACUCUCAAUGAGUUGCAAUCAAACAACCAUUUAAUACGCAAUCCCGCUAUCAGACUUAGACGUAAUGAGAUUAGAUAUCAAGGAUGUAUUAAUUAGUGCUUUAUAUUAUUUUUUAUUUUUUUUGCAUUAUUAUAUAAGGAAACGUGCUAAUAGAGGACAUUAGGACUUUAACUAAGGGAGCUUUGUUUUUAUAAUCAUAUAUUUUUUAGAUAGUGAUGGUUUCUCUCCUGUGAUGAUAGAAUUUCUCACUGUUUCUGUCUGGCGCAAGGCAUUUACAAUAAGCAUGAGUAACAGUCCAUAUGAGGGACCAACUAGGACUAAAAUAAGGAGUUUCUGUUUUUCUUAAUUCAUAAUAUUUUUUAGAUUGCCCGUAAAGCCACACACUGCACUGCCCUACCUGCAAGAAUGGGUUUUUCAAACUUAGGACCUGACUGUCGGGCCCGAGGACCCGUACCGACACUUAGUCUACAGUAUAACAAGGGUAGUUUUGCUGCAAUUGAAAAGAAAUGAUUGCAUGAAUAACUUUCAGAGAAACUAGCCUAACUUAGUAGUGUGGAUAAGAAUAUUUGCCUACCAUUUCACAUCAAAGUUGCAUAACUAAGUUGGACCAGUCAGGCUCAGAAUCCUACUGCGCUACUUCUUGUUUAACACAUCCUCAGCUCUUCAUUAGUCCCAUUACUCCUCUUCUUUAUCUAGACUUAUGUCUGAGAUGACCUUAUACUGUUAUGUGCCUCAGUAUCCCUCUUACUCUCUGAAUCUCCCUCCACAGAUUCUGCUUUUAGUUUAAGCAAACAGGGAUAGAUGUAACAGGGGAAAGUAGUUAGAAAAAUGAAAUAUUGAGGCCAAUGAGAGAAGAAAUGAACAGGGACUGCAAAGAAAACUGAGUCUGGUUUGGGAAUGCUUUCGUAAAUAUGCCUGCUUUUCAUGCUUUAGGGAACCCAAUAUUCGGAACACCUUGCAAAUCCCAUCCAAAUGCCUUAAAUCGGCGGCGGCGAACUAACAAAAAGAUGCACCUGCACUGGCACUUUCCGCGAUCCUCUAUUAAUAGGGCAUCAGGGGAGGGGUCCAACGGAAAUUUUAUAGUAUUUUUGGAUCCUUAAAGGAUCAAAUGGUGAGCUGAAUCUAGCAAACACCAUUCUCCUACAUGGCUAAGAGAUUCAACAUAAACUAAAAAAUCUCUUGAUAAGAAUGUUUAUUGAACCGAGUACCAGAAUAGAUAUGAAUUGCUAGAAAAAACUAUCAAGCAAUUUGAGAACUCUGAAUGUGAAUCGAAGAAGGAUAAAAGGUAUGUUCUUUUUAUUUUUUUUCUUUUUUCUUUUUUUUUUUUUUUUCUGUUUUUUAUCACGCCCGAUGAUUCUCAGGAUUACGUGCUAUUUUCUGUUUAUAUCCAUUCAUACAUAUAUUAUUUCCUUUUUCGAUGAAUGAUUUGCUGACAGAAAGGAAGAGGAUGCAAACUUGGGAACUAAUGGGUUGAAAAAUGAAGCCCUGCUCACAUCAUGGGUUAGACGACGGACUGGUUCUCAUACUCCGGCGAAAAGAAACUGGCUAUAUUGUAGCACAAGAUGUUUUACAUAUUUUUUUAUCUCUCUAUCCAAUUUAUUCCCUAUAUUAUUUCUCAUUUAACAAAAUUAAGGAAGCAUUAAAGGAGGUCACUCUAUUUGUCUCUCUCUAUUUGUCACUAAAUAGUUCCAAUUGCCUUAUGAAGAUUCUACUACAUUCAAUCUAUAAUUGAGCUCUCGCAAACGCUCACCUCCUUUUGCUCCAACAUAAAAAUCUCAUUAACACUUGUCUGUAAUCUCGAGAAUGUGCGCGAACUUGGACUAAAUGAACAAGAAGCACUUUGGCAAAAUUCAGAGUGAGCUUGCAAGCACUUGUGCACUAUCAUAAGUUUAAAGAACUCAACUGGUAGAUGUACAGAGAGGUUUUCUACAUGAAGAAGUCAAUUUUUAAGCCUUUUUUCAAUUAAGAUCUCUUCGGUGUUUCUGUGGAGUUCUUCGACCUCUCAAAGGUUUCCGGUGGUGGGCAGACAGAGAUCGGACAUCGGUGAGCAUCAAGAUAGUAUAUCAAGUUAAUCAGUAGAGUUUUUAUAGAAUUUACAUAAGGUACGAAUAAACAACACCUAUGGGAAUUAUGUCUAUUUAUGGACUAAAGCUAUUAGAAUGUGAACAAUACUUGUUGGAGGUGGAGGCACUAGGUGAAUAGUUAAGAGCUAGUUUACUUUCCUAUAGACUAUUAUUGCUGCUUCUCUAAAAAAAAUGACCGCGUCACCUUGUUGACACUUAUUGUUUAUUUUGACUUCCUUGAACAAACAACGCUAAUUAUCUGAGGCAUUAUGCGUAGGCACCUUGUGUAUAGAAUUCUGAUUGAGCUAAUCAUUGCUAGGUCUGGUAGGUAUACUGAUCUCAUGCUUGCAGUGGACCUUAUCACUGAAGAAUUAAUAGGGAUUAUAGUGUUUAUUCUUGUCUAUUCAGCAAAUUAGAUACUGAAAAGCAAAAGACAUUUAGUGCAAUCUUAGGAAUAGUUAUCAGGAUUACGUUUUCUUUGUUUUUCUCCAUUUGAAUUUUGAUUAAUUCCAUAAUAUUACUUGUAGAAGUUGUGGCUUUAUUCACUUUGUGUUUAUAGUAAGUUUAUCGUAUGUAGGAUGUUGUUGAGACCUUUGUAUUGCUAUAACCUCCAUGCUUGUAGGAUUGAGGCUUAAUCCUUAAGUUGUUGUUGUUGUUUAGUUGGUAACAGACCAAGAGACUGGGAGAGAGAAUCUCCAAACUAGAAAAGUACACUAUAGUGCAACGGACUUAAAUCCUAGCCUAGUGGAUCAGAAUAGAGCAGAGAGAUAUGCGAGAAAUGUGAGGGUUGGAAGAGAACGUGUGGCAUCAUACUGUUUUUAUGCUAACGAUUUGUUAUCUAUUGAAAAAAUAUAAAUUAAUAAUAAUAUAACAAAGAAAUCAUGUGUUUUAAUAUGCAUAUGUAAAGAGAUGUAGUACACUAAUCAACUUAGAUAGCAUGGCUUUUUAUCAUGCAAAAGUUCGAUCUAACCGAUCGCACAGUAACAUUACCUCUAGCUAACAUCUGAAUAAUUAGGAAGGAAUCUUAAUGCCUAUAAUGAGCUAUAUCUUCCUUCUUUUUAUCAAAUGAGUUGUUGGAGAUCUGAUUCACUUGUAUCGUUGGAUCUGAGAAAUGGUAAAGGUCGUGGGAUACAAAAUUUUAACUUAGGGAUCAGAUUAGGAUAAAGCAAGAGUAUGGUGCUGCUGCUCAUCUUCCUAUAUGCAUUUUCAUGUGUAAAGACAUGACACACUUCAGUUGCCUCUUUAUAUUACGAAUAGCCAGAUUAAAUUUAAUUAUUGGAUCACUCCCACUCAACCUUUCUAAUAAUCUGUGUACUAUUUCAAUAAGUUGUCUUAGGCAACAUCAGUCACCAAGUGCAAUAGACUACAAUUUGGAGAUUAUAAGUUCUAAUGUGAAUCCAAGUCAACUUUGUCUAAUUCAUUCAUUAGCAGCUUCGCAACAAAUUUUUAUUGCCGAAUUUAUGUGGGUACUAAAGGUAUCGAUGAAGGAUUAUGAAAACACUGGAAAAAGCUGUAAUUAGAACCUAAAUAAGUGAUAUUAUCCUUCAAAUCUUAGAUAACAAAGAACAUCCUUUGUUUGUGAAUUAAAACUUCUUUUAGUUGGUCCGUGAUGGUCGACCUUCGAGUAAAAAGACAAGUCAAUCCUCAUAUCCAGUUCUCUUGCGAGUGGAACUUAAAAUAUUGUGUGUUCAUAUAUCUAAGAUUCAAAAGCGGCAAUAUUCUAGCUAUCAAAGAGUUGGAAAGGUAUCAACAAAAGUUUCAAACUAUGGAUAUGGGAGAUCUAGUCAACUAAAAAAAAUUGUAAUGAUGAUCUAGGUAGCCGUGUAAUAAUUGCCUACAAAUCAGAAAGGACAAUCCUUCGUAUGCUGGUAAAAGGGCAAUACUUAAUUGAAAUUCCCGAUCGCCCUGAUCUCCAACAGUGGUAGUUGAGACAACUACGACUAACAUUCCACUAUUAAGGAAAGCUUAAUCGCCAGAGACAGAUCAAAUUGCUGUCAGCGUUGUGAAGUGGGAUGUGUGUGCGGAGUUUUGAAUAGAAAAGAAACAGGCUAUAGAUAACACUAGUAAACGCAGUCAGAAUAGUGCCUAAAUGCAUCUAAACCCUCUGUACAACUUACGCAAAUUGUUAAACAAUGGCCAUGGUCAUAUCAACCGUGCUACUGCAGUUGGAUGCUAUUUAAACAUUAGUUGUAUUAGUCGAGUUGCAAAGCAGAUACCGAGUAAUGAUAUUAGAUUUAAGAGUUGUGGCUGCUUUUAAUGUCAGAUGAAUACGUGAUCAUACCAUUGGGCGUAAGGUAGAAAUAUGCGAUAAAGAAGGGAAGCUUACCUUCAUAUACUUGAGGUAUGCAAUAACAUAGAUAUGACAUCAGUCGAGCUCUAGUAUCCUGUUACCUUUCACUUUUGUUCGCUAAGCAGGAUGAGUGAGCAUCAUCAGCGCAGCAAAGAUCCAUCUCCGUUCAAAUGGGCUCCGGACGAGCAUUGGACUAUAACAGAAAGUUGCGGAAGGAGACCGUCGAAAUACAUUGAGGCGUUUUGAUAGUGGCGUGAUUGUCGGGAGACAUAAAAAAGUUUAUAAUCAACAUAAUUUUGGACCUUUUAUUCUUAGCUCUCAAUGUUCUGAUCCUAUAAGAUCAGCCCUGGAUUACCAAAAUCCGUGUCCAGGUUCUGGCUAACUUACAUCCAAAGCAUCCAACGAACCAGACCGUAAAUUAGCAGCGGCUAGGAUGAAUUAGUGUAAGCAUCGUAAUGGCCAAGCGAGAUUACGGUUUGCUACAAAAUUCAAUAAGACCCGAAUAGUAACUCUAUUGUCUAUUAUGUGAUGAGAUAUCUAAAGGCUUCACCAUUCAUUCGACAUGCUCGGAUGAUUUAAUAUGAUGACGAAGCGCAUGGACGGAGAUUUUUUAGGGAUAUAGAUGUGGANNNNNNNNNNNNNNNNNNNNNNNNNGAGCUUGAGCCUAGAUUUAGGCUCGAAAUUAAUUUCAAGCCGAAUUUGAGCUGACAUAAGCUCGCUCGAGCUCGGCUCGUUUCCACCCCUAGGAAUGACUACAGUAUCAGCGACUAGUCGACACAUCUGUAGAAUAUCGGGAUGAGUCGCAGUCGUUUUAGCAUGAAAUAAAUGCGAAAACAGACUAGGUGCACUCAAAUAAGCAAAAACUAAAGUUCUGAUAGUUUAGAGCGCCCAGAAAUGAUUUAGGGCGCCCAGAUUCCGAAUGUUGUUUUGUAUUGGAUAUUGGAGUCAUUUCGGGCCCUAUUUAGGGCAUCCGAAAAUUGGAUCCGAAAGUUCACAUCGUGAAUAUCAAUUGUAUUGACACAUGAGUGUGGUAGGUGAGAUCCGUCGAAAUCGGAUAGCGGUGUAACAAACCGUCGGACGGAGGAACCGAGAUGCUGUUUGUGCAAGCUGGAAGUUCUAGGCGCCCAGAACUAGGUGUAGGGCGUCUAAAUCUUGAAUUUCUUGCAGUGAAAUAGGUUUUCACUCUUUGUUCUUGAGGCCUAUUGUACCUAACCUAUAUCUCUAUAAAAGUAGGAGCCUCUGAGAGCUCUUUUCACCUCUUCUUCACAAGAAGGCUGCAAUUUUGCAUUUUAGCCCCUCCAAACCAUCAAAUUUUCACUUUUGACAUUGAGGACUUGAAAAUUCAGUAGGAUUCCAGCAGCGGCCUUGAGAGAUUUGGCUCGUGUGCGGCAUAGGAGCAUCCAAAUUCUGUGAAACUUGAUUUGGAGGAUUGUGGACUCAUGGGAGAGUGUGUGGAACCAAUUUAAUAGUAAGUAAUUGAGGUUAGUAUGAUCAAAUUGCUGUUUUCUUGGAAUUUUGGUAUUUUUUAGCUGAAAUUGAAAUUUUCUUGGUGUUUUUUUAAUCCAAAUCUUCUUCGAGCUGAAUUUUUUAUGUGGGAAUUGGUUUUCCAUCAUCCUAUAAUAGUUUAGAAGCUUUCCCCUCCUAAUUUCGAGAUUGGAGAGGUGAGUUUUAGCUCAGAUUUUGAAUGCUUAAGCUUAUACACUAAUUUUUGGAAACUUUGAUAGAUUGCGUGGAUUUUUGAAUCCAAAUUUUAACGGAAAGCUUAUGGAUGGAUUAGGAUUGAUUCCCCACCUUAUUUGGGAGGUUUGUGACCCCAUUCCACUAGUUUUAUAAGCUAGAAUUCUCAAAUUGUUGAAGUACUAGUAGAUUGCUUAAGUGCUGAAGUUCUGGAUGUAGGUUCUGGACCAGAAAUGAGUCCGAAUUGGUGUAAAGGCUUUUUGAUGACCAUUUCGAGCUCAAAUUUGGCGAGGAAUCUGGAGAAUUAUUCUUAAGUAUCUAGAGAUGAGUUGGGUGAAGUUUCACCGCAUUUGGACUUUAGAAUUGAAUUAAAUCCCAUAUUGAACUCGUAUAGGUUGAACCUGCCAGCUUGUUGUUCUGGACCCUAGAUCUGUGCGCCUAGAAGUACUGCAGAGUAUAUCCGAAUCCUGUUUUUCAGCUGGUUUGUUUUCGGUUGAGGCUGAUUUUGUGCGGAGCUUCUCCUAUCAACUUCUAGCCAUUGUUGGACUAGCAUUUAAGGUGGGUUGAUGUUAUCUGAAACCUUCAAAAUUCCUCCUAAAUUUUUGAAACUCCAGCAUGCAUAGUUUUGCAUAUAAUCAUUCUAUUUAAUAGCUCAAACUGUAAAUUUGCAUAUUAUAGAUGAAAUUUAAGUUUUGCAGCAUACUUAGCCAAAUUAUAAUGAUUAUCAUCUGCUAAACUGAGAUUUAAUUGAGGAGAAAACUUAUUAAUCUACACCUGUCACUUUUUGAAAAGUUAACAGAUCUAGCUUGAUGAGAUGAUUUUUCUUUUGUAUAGCGGUGUAACAGACUGUCGGAUGGAGGAACCGAGAUGCUGUUUGUGCUAGCUGGAAGUUCUAGGCGCCCAGAACUGGGUGUAAGGCGCCCGAAUCUUGAAUUUCCUGCAGUGAAAUAGGUUUGCACUCUUUGUUCUUGAGGCCUAUUGUACCUAACCUAUAUCUCUAUAAAAGUAGAAGAACGUCCCCUGAGAGCUCUUUUCACCUCUUCUUCACAAGAAGCCUGCAGUUUUGCAUUUUAACCCCUCCAAACCAUCAAAUUUUCACUUUUGGCAUUGAGGACUUGAAAAUUCAGUAGGAUUCCAGCAGCGGUCUUGAGAGAUUUGGCUCGUGUGCGGCGUAGGAGCAUCCAAAUUCUGUGAAACUUGAUUUGGAGGAUUGUGGACUCAUGGGAGAGUGUGUGGAACCAAUUUAACAGCAAGUAAUUGAGGAUAGUAUAAUCAAAUUGCUAUUUUUUUGGGAUUUUGGUAUUUUUGAGCUGAAAUUGAAAUUUUCUUGAUUUUUUUUUUAAUCCAAAUCUUCUUGGAGUUGGAUCUUUUAUGUGGGAAUUGGUUUUCCAUCAUCCUUUAAUAGUUUAGAAGCUUUCCCCUCCUAAUUUCGAGAUUGGAGAGGUGAGUUUUAGCUCAGAUUUUGAAUGCUUAAGCUUAUAUACUAAUUUUGAAAAUUUUGAUGGAUUUCGUGGAUUUUUGAAUCCAGAUUUUAACGAAAAGCUUAUUGAUGAAUUAUGAUUGAUUCCCCACCUUAUUUGAGAGGUUUGUGACCCCAUUCCACUAGUUUUAUAGGCUAGAAUUCUCAGAUUGUUGAAAUACUAGUAGAUUGCUUAAGUGUUGAAGUUCUGGAUGUAGGUUCUGGACCAGAAAUGAGUCCGAAUUGGUGUAAAGGCUUUUUGAUGACCAUUUCGAACUCAAAUUUGGUGAGGAAUCUGGAGAAUUAUUCUUAAGUAUCCAGAGGUGAGUUGGGUGAAGUUUCACCGCAUUUGGACUUUAGAAUUUAAUUAAAUCCCAUAUUGAACUCGUAUAGGUUGAAGCUGCCAGCUUGUUGUUCUGGACCCUAGAUCUGUGCGCCCAGAAGUACUGCAGAAUAGAUCCGAAUCCUGUUUUUCAGCUGGUUUGUUUUCAGUUGAGGCUGAUUUUGUGCGGAGCUUCUCCUAUCAACUUCUAGCCAUUGUUGGAUUAGCAUUUAAGCUGGGUUGAUGUUAUCUAAAACCUUCGGAAUUUCUCCUAAGUUUUUGAAACUCCAGCAUGUAUAAUUUUGCAUAUAAUCAUUCUAUUUAAUAGCUCAAACUGUAAAUUUGCAUAUUAUAGAUGAAAUUUAAGUUUUGCAGCAUACUUAGCUAAAAUAUAAUGAUUAUUAUCUUCUAAAUUGAGAUUUAAUUGAGGAGAAAACUUAUUAACCUACACCUGUCACUUUUUGAAAAGUUAACAGAUCUAGCUUGAUGAGAUGAUUUUCCUUUUGUAUCAUCACUAUUAGUGCGUCGCGAAUAUUUAAACUAAUGUAGGUUGAGAUUACGCUUAUACUGAAGAGCCGAACUUGUUUUUACAGCAGAGUUAGGCUGUUUUGUACUGUCGGAUGUCGUCGGAGCUGACGGUGGACCGAAACUCUUACAUUUUGUAUCAAAUUGUGCCGAGGGCACGUGAGCUUUCGUUGUUACACUAGUUUGACCCUUUGUAUUGACUAUAGCUUGUGUGAACUUGAUUGAGUUCGACAGAGACACACUUGUAUAUUCGAUUGGGUCGCACCCACAAGUGCCACUCCGGAAUGAGGCUUUUGUAGCGUUGACGUCGCAACAGUCCCAUUUGGACAAUUUUCUUGGACCGGCCACCCCCGUCGGUGGUGUGCGGUGUAGUCUAGGCGCAAGCUAGACUGGCUAGUUGGCGGUCCCUUGAGAUUGGAUCAGUUGUGGCUGAUUUGUAGUUAGAGAUGCAAUUAUGUCUACAGAAUGUAUGGUUUGGAUACCGAUAGUAUAGUGGCAUUUAGUUGUAAAGUUUCUUCCAGCUUUUUUUAUUGUCCUUUACCUAUCAGUUUCGUACUCGUACUGUAGACUUAGUGGGUAGCAGGUCGGUGACGGUACCCACAGAGAACUACUCUAUUUUGCAGUAGUUCUUCACCUAUUGUUGCCAUUUUUUUUCUUGCAGAGCCGCCUGCUGUUGCUCCUGAUUAAGGUAAGGGAGUCGCAAGCUAGAUCCCUAUCUUUUUCGGUUAUUUUACUAGAGGAGUACCCCUGCCAGAGAGAGUUUUAGGAUAUUAUCAUGUACAUACAGUUGUAUUUUGUUUACUCUCUUAAAGAUGGUUGUAUUUUGAAACUUGUAUUUACAAUGGGCCUUUUUAGUUAUAUAUGUUGUUUUAGAUUUAGCAGCUCUCUAUUUCUUGUAAUAACUUUUAUUUAUGUGCAGAUUCAGCUAUCGUUUCGUAUACACACUACAAGAAAAGAUAUUAUUGGUGGCAAAAAUAAUGUGGCGAUAAAUUUUGUCGCCACUAUAUAGUUACUUUUUGUGGCGAUAAAAAAAAAUUGCCACCGAUUAGUUAACUAAAAGUGGCAAUACUACUUUCGCCACUAAAUGAUUAUUUUAUCGCCACUAUUUGGUUAUCUACGGUGGCGACAUUACUCGUCACCAAUAUAUAAUAUUAUUGUAGUGCACAGAAAAUCGCUAUGUAUACGACGAGUCUGUUGAUCACUAGCCAAAUGAUGUCGAAAAAUUAUAAAAUUUAGUUUCCAGAUACCUUCAAUAGUGUAGAUCAAGUCUAAUGAAACCGAUCGUCGAUUUGGAAGCCGCAUUAUUGAAAAUAACUUGGUAGCACGGAGGCCUCCAUAUAUAUAUAUAUAUAUAUAUAUAAUUGAGCUCCUAUGCUUUUAAAAGUAUUUCGAUAUAUUCAAAUAUUUUCGAUUUCUAAAUGAAAUUACUACUGAUGCUACAUUAGCGCGUUUGAUUUAAUACAAUAAGAUAAUGCUAGAUUGCAAUGUUUAUAGUAUUACUAUAUUUAGUUCAAUUUAUAAAAUUCAGUAAUUUUGACAAUGAUGUAUAGUCUAUUUCAAAAGUGCCCUUAGCCGUAUUUGGCAAUUUGUUUUACUAUUUACAAAUAAUAUUUUUUCACUAAAUUUUUUUAAAUAAUUUAAAUUUUAAAAUUUAAAUUUGAAAAUAUAAAAUGUCAUUUUUUAAUUUAAAAUAUAAAAAUAAAAUUUAUAGAUUUAAAAUCUAAAAUUUAAAUAUAAAUUUAAAUUUAAAUUUAAAAUAUAAAUUUAAAAUUUAGAAUUUAAAAUACAAAUUUGAAUUUUAAAAUUUAAAAUUUUAGAUUUAAAAUUNAAAUUUUAGAUUUAAAAUUAUUUUUUUUUAAUUUAAAACUUGGAAUUUAAUUAUAAAUUUUAAUUUUAAUUUUUGAAAUUUAGGGUUCAAAAAUUUACAAAUUUAAAUUUAAAAAUUAAAAAUUAAAAAUUUUAAUUUUAAUUUUAAAAUUUAAGAGUUGAUAAUUUUAAAUUUUAAAUUAAAAUAUUUAAAAUGACGUAUUGAAAGGAUUCCGAGAGGAUCCUUCUGUUCUGCAGCAUAUCCCAAUCUUCAGCAGUUACAACUGCUACUUCUUUCUCACUGGUUGGUGACUUGGGCAGCAGCUCUCCAGCCCCACCUGAGUCCCGGCCGGCCCUUCCCACCUGCAGGAGCGAGCGAGAUUGCUUGUUGCGCGCUUAAGACGGAUGGCCUGGACUGAAAUGUUGCCGGGUGCAAGGGAAGUUGGAGGGAUAAAUUUGUAAUUUUAAUUUUCUAUAACACACAAGUUUAGCUGCAUUCAGUAAUCCAAAAUACAUGCCUCCCUCAAUAAUAUAUUUAUAUAAUCCGACACUAUUUGUAAUGCUAUAUUACCGAUCAGAUUACAUACAAGAUAAACCAAAUAUAAUAAUUCUGACAAAAUUGCCUGUAGUCCGGCUAGAAUAACCCGAACCAAACACUCCCUUAGAAAAUUUACGAGGAUAUUGAUGAAAAUGCAAUGGAGGGUAAAUUCGGCAUUUUGAAUGUGUUAUAGCUAAACAUGGGGUAAUAGUUAUGAGGGCAUUUUGCAAAUUUUUAUGUUUUUGGAGAGUAAAUAUGAUAUUUCAAAAUUUUUAAAAGACAUUUAUGAUAUUAUAGUUAUUUGGAACGGUAGUGAGGAAUUUUUCCCAAAAUAAAAACUACGAGCCCUACAUGCAGAAUGAUUAAGAUUUCCCUAACUUUAUCGCUGCGAGUACUAUUGAUCUCAGGUUAGAUAAGAAAAGUAUAUACUCAUAACAUCAAAGCACACUUAUUUACUAUGGCAGUUAUUGAUGAAGGAUAGUUAGCUUCAUUUUAGAACAACAACUUUAAACAUGUAUAGCACGAAUUGCAACAAACUGAACUGAAACUAUGCUGCCGCUACAGAUCCGGCUUCCCCACCACCGUCUCGUCACUGGAGUCGUACUCAUCUUCCGAGAGCUCCUCCUCGCUGGAUUUGUCGUCCGAAGGAGCGCCGACUUCCUCAGGUUUUGCAUACUUUUCACAGUAUUCUGGGACAUUUAAAAAGAGAAAAGAAUGUAAUAAAAGGUACACCACAUUGUUACUCUUCAAUUUGUACACAUACAACCUGAUAGAGAUAUAAUAUGAACUUGAAAAAACAAAAUAGUGAGCUAAGAGUAAUAAUUGCAUUCAAAAUAUGGGUUCUUUUAUUUUCAACACUUGAUAGUAUGUGGAUGCUCCAUUGUUUCCUAUACCGGAUUUGUCGAUAAUAGUGAACCAGGAGGACAAACCAAUGAGGGAACCAAGAAAAAUUCAAAAUAAAGCAGAAUGAUCAUCUUUAGUUAGUGAACCACCUCUAAUGGUACCUCCUUCAUCACAUCCCGAUAGUUCCAUUUCGAAACAAAUUGGACAAGUCAUUUAGGCAUAUGAUAGCUUGCAAAAGCAUUUGAACGCAUCAUUAAAGCCCCUUGAAGUUGAUUAAUAAACACUGGUAGACAAGUUGAAUCUUGCAUACGGAACUGGAGCUACUCUCAAUGGUGCAAUCAUACAGACCUAUUUAAUACGCAUCCCCGCUAUCAACCUUAGACGUAAUGAGAUUAGGAUAUCAAGGAUGGUAUUAAUAGUGCGAUGAUAGAUUUUCAUGUUUUGUCGCAAAGGAUUAUAUAAGGAAACGUGCCUAAUGAGGACAUUAGGACUUAAAACUAAGGGAGUUUUUUUCUUCUAAUUCAUAUAUUCUUUUAGAUAGUGUGAUGAUAGAUUUUCAUGUUUUGUCUUGCGAAGGAUUACAUAAGGUAACAUGCCUAAUGAGGACACGAGGACUUAAAACUAAGGGAGCUUUUUUCUUCUAAUUCAUAUAUUCUUUUAGAUGCCCGUAAGCCACACUGCCUGCCCUACCCUGCAUAGAAUGGGUUUCAAACUUAGGACCUGACUGUCGAGGAGGACGGUACCGACCACCUACUCUAAGUAGUAACCAAGGUAGUUUGCUGAAAAUGUGAAAGAAAUGAUUGAUGAAUAAGAUUUAGAAACUAGCCUAACUUAAGAGUUGAAGCAUAUUUGGUACCCUUUCCAUCAAGUUGCUAAUAGUGGACCAGUUCAGGCUCAGAUCCUACUGCGCUACUCUGUACACAUCCUCAACCUCUUCAUGUCCCCAUUCCUCCUCUUUCUUUGAACUAGCAUUAGUGAUGACUAUAACUUAUUGCCGUCAGUAUCCCCUCUUCCUCUCUGAAUUCUUCCACCAGAAUUCAUUGCUUUAGUUUAAGCAAACAGGAUAGAUGUAACCAGGGGAAAGCUAGUUAGAAAAAUGAAAUACUUGAGGCAAUGAGAAGAAAAUUGAACAGGGACUGCAAAGAGAACUGAGGUCUUGGUUGGAAAUGCUUUCGUUAAAUAUGCCUGCUUUGAUGCUUUAGGAACCCAAUAAUUCGGAACCACCUUGAAGCUCCCUCCAAAUGCAUUAAAAUGGCGGGGGAACUAACAAAAAAGAUGCACCUGGCUUGCAUUUCCCAUCACUAUUAAUAGCAUCAGGGGAGAGGGUUCUCAACGGAAUUUUAUAUAUUUUUGGAUCCUCUAAAGGAUCAAAGUGAGCGAAUCUAGGCAACACAUUCCCUACAUGGGCCUAAGAGAUUCAACAUAAACUAAAAAGAUCUUAAGAAUGUUUAUGAAGGUACCAAAUAGAUAUUGACAAUUGUAGAAAAACUAUCAACAAGUUUGAAGAACAUCUGUCAAAUGUGAAAUCGAAAGCAUAAAAGGUAUGCAGCGAUGAUUCUCAGAUUACUGUGCUUUUUCCGUUUAUAUCCAUUCUACAUAUAUUAUUUCCUUUUUCAUGAAUGAUUUGCGACAAGAAAAGGAAGAAGGAUGCAACUUGGGAAAACUAAUGGGUUGAAAAAUGAAGCCUGUCCACUAUCAUGGGUUAAGACGAGGUUCUCAUUACUCUCGAAAAGAAAAACCUGGUAUAUUUGUAGCACAAGAAUGUUCUCUUACAUAUCUUUUUCAUCUUUAUCCCAAUUUUAUCCCUAUAUUAUUUGUCCAUUAACAACAAUUAAGGAAUCACAUUAAGGAGUCCUCUAUUUGUCUCCUCCUCUAUUCUGUCAUAAAUAGUUCCAAUUUCCUAGAAUAUUCCUCUACAUUCAAUCUAUAAAUUUGAGCUCUCCAAACCUCACCUCCUUUUGCCUCCAACAUAAAAAUCCAUUAACAUUGUCUGUCAAUUAGCAUGUGCGCUGGAACUUUGGACUAAAUGAAACAGAAGCACUUUGGCAAAAAUUCAGACGUGAAGCUGAAGCACUUUGCACUAUCAUAAGUUUAAAAACCUCACUGGGAGCUUACAGAGAGGUUUUCUACAUUGAAGAAGUCAAUUUUUAAGCCCCUUUUUUCAAUUAAGCUCUCUUUUCGGUGUUUCUUGGAGUUCUUCCGACCUCUCAAAGGUUUUCGGGUGCGGCAGACAAGAUCGGACAUCGGAGCCAUCAAGAUAGGAUAUCAAAGCUUAGAUCAAGCUAGAGUUUUCUAAGCAAUUUCACUAAGGACGAAUAACAUACACCUUGGAAUUAUGUCUAUUUUAUGACCGCUAUUAGAAGUGACACAUCUUUUGGAGGUGGGAGGCACUAGGUGGAAUAGUUAGAGCUAGUUCUUUCCUAUCAGACUAUUAUUGCUGCUUCUCUAAACAAGACCGCCGUCACCUUGUUGGACACUUAUUUAUUUUUGACUUCUUGAACAACAACCUAAUUAUCUGGGCAUUUAUGCGUAGGCCUUGUUGAUAAUAGAUUCUACUGAGCUAUCUUUGCUGGUGUGGAGUAGUAUACUGAUCCUCAUGCUCUGCAUGGACCCUAUCCCUGAGGGUUAGGGUUUAGGGUUUAUUAUUUUCAUUAAUCGUAGAUCUUGUAAAGCCAAAGGCAUAGUGAUCUGGAUAGUUAUCCAGAUUACUUUUCUUUUGCUUCUCCAUUUGAAUUUUGUUAUUUCCUACAUUUACUUGUGAGUUGUGGACUUUGAUUACUUUUGUUUACUUUAGUAUCUAUGUUAGAUGUUGUUGAGCUUUGGUAUUUGCUAUAACCUUCCAUGCUUGUAGGAUUGAGCUUAAUCCUUAAGUUGUGUUGUGUACCAGUUACAGCCCAAAAGACCUGGGGAGAGAGAAUCUCCAAACUAGAAAAGUACACUAUAGUGGCACCGGACUAAUCCUAGCCUAGUCAUCAAAAGACAAAUAAUAUCAAGAAAUUAGUUGGGAAGGAACGUGUGGCAUCCAUACUGUUUUUAAGCUAACGAUUUGUUCUCCUAAGUGAAAAAAUAAUAAUAAUAAUAAUAAUAACAAAGAAAUCAUGUGUUUUAAUAUAGCCAUAUGUAAAAGAUGUAGCUCCACUACUCAACUAGAAGCAAGCCAUCUGCAAAAUUCAUCACCGAUUCAGUAAAACCUCUAGCUAACAUCUGGCUCUUGGACGGACUUUGCCUAAAUGACUAUAUCUUCCUCUUUGUUAUCACUGGAUUGUUGGGAUCUGAUCACUGGAUCGUUGGGAUCUAAGAAAUGGAAAGUCCAUACAAAUUUUCACUUAGGAUCAGGUUAGAUAAAAUAUGGUGCUGCUCUCAUCCUUCCUAAUGCAUUUUCAUGGUUGUAAAACAUGACACACGUCACUGCUCUAUUAUAUUACAAUACCAGCUUAAAUUUUGAUUAUUGAUACUCCCACCAACCUCUCUUCAAUCACUGGGAGGGUUUUGUACUAUUUCAAUAAGUUGCCUCUCGGCAACAUCAGUUCACCAAUGCAAUAGACUACAAUUUGGAGAUUAAUAAUUCGAUGUGAAUCCACAGUCAACUUGGUCUAUCAUUUCAUUAGCACUUCGCAACAAAAUUUUCAAUUCCGAAAUGUGCUACUAAAGGGAUCGAUGGAAAGCAUUCAUGCCACUGAGAAAAAGCUAUGUAAUUAAACCUAAAGAAAAAUCCUCAAAUCUUGAGAUAAAAAUUGUGAAUUAAAACUUCUUUUAUUGUCCAUGGUCGAUCUUCGAUAAAAAACAAGUCAUCCUCAGUAUCCAUUCUCUUGCGAGAUUUGGAACUUAAACAUAUUGUUGUUCAUAUAUCUAAGAUUCCAAAAGGCCAGGAACUAUUCUAAGCUAUCAAAGAGUUGGAAAGGAUCAACAAAAGUUUCAAUACAUGGAUGGGAGAUCUACGUCAACAAAAAAUUAGUAUGAUGAUCUGGUAGCUGAAUUAAUUGCUACAAAUGCAAGAAAGGGACAAUCCUUCGUAUGCUGGUAAGGGGCAAGUACUUAAUUAAAAUUCCAUCGCCCCUUCUCCAACAGACUGGUAGUUGAACCAACUACGAUAACAUUCCACUAUUAAGGAAAGCUUUCGCGAGACAGAUCAAAUUGUGUCAGCGUCUAAUGGAGUAAUUUCCACAAUAAAAGAACAGGCUUAAACAUAUAAACGCUAUCAGAAUAGGCUAAUGGCAUUACACCCUCUUCAAUAUAGCAAAAUGUUAAACACAUGGCAUGGUUCAUAUCAACACGUCUACUGCAUGAUGCCUAUUUAAACAAUUACAUAAAGCAGUUCAAAGCAGAUACCCGAGUAAUGCAAUAUAUAGAUUCUAGAGUUGUGGCUGCUUUUAUGUCAUGAAUACGUGAUAUACCAUUUCGUAAAGUAGGAUAUGCGAUAAAAAGAGAAGCUUCCUCAUAUCGUAUUGAGGAUGCAAUAACACUAGCAAUGAACAGCAGUAGAUCCUGUUACCUUUCACUUUUUGUUCGUAAGCAGGACGAUCACGCAUCAUCAGCGCAGCAGCCUCUCCGUUCAAUGGGUCGGAAGCAUUAGGAUAUAACAGAAGUUGCGGAAGGAAGACCUCGAAUACAUUGACAAGAUCUAUCGAGACAUAAAAAAGUAUAAUCAACAUAAAUUUUUACCAUUUUAAUUUUAUUCUCUAAUGUUCUUGACUAUAAGGUCAGCUCUAUUACCAAACAUCGGGCUCCAGGUUUGGUUGAUGACAUCCAAACAUACCGAACCAGACCUAAAUUGCAGGUAGAAUGAAUUAGUAAGCAUUCGUAAAUGGCAAAGCAGAUUAGGUUUUGGUACAAAUUCAAUAGACCAGAAAUAGUAAUUCUAUGGUCUAAUUAUGUGAGAGAAUCUAAAGGCUCACAUUUCAUCGACAUUCGGAUGAUAAAUCUUAUUGACGAAGCCGAUGGACGGAGAUUUGUAGGGAUAAGCAUCAGGCAAUUCUACUCUAAUCCUCCAAACACCACCUUGGUAAAGACCUAAAAAUACAUAAAAAUAGCAUUAUGUAACAUCCAUUAAAAAUACACAUAUUUUUGAUUUAUUCACAAUGUAUUUUUUUUUGUUAAAAUGAUUGGAAAAUUGAAGCGGCAUUGAUUUUUACAUAAGAAAGUGAUCAGAUACUAAAUUCAUCAAAGAAAAAAAGAGUGAAUAAAUCAAAGAUAAUUCAGUAAUUUUCAACAUCAUAAAGAUCAACAAAAUCGUCUGAUGAUUUUGCUCUCCUUUAAACACUUCUAGCUCACCAUGCAACUAAAAUGAUAGAUCAAAAAUUCGAAUCAUAAAUUAAGGAAAAAGAAAAAACGAGCUAAAAUAGACAAAACCCAUCAACCCAUCAGAAAUUUUUUUUAUAAAAUAAAAUAAAAACAAAAAGAUGAUAUGGUUUAUAGAUCAUACUUCCAUUUGGCCCAUGGAAAUCCACAUAAAACUCUUGCAUCCCAUCAUUCACCAUCUCCACCUUAUAAUCACUCAUCAUCCUAAAAACCAAACCAAAAANAAAAAAAAAAAAAAAAGAUAAAAAAUAAUAAUCCAAAAGAAUCAGGGGGAAAAAAAAGAAAGAGAUGUGAGCGUGUUCAGGGAUUCACAGUUUCAUGAGAUCCAUCUCGCGGCGUUUGCUAGGAGAAGACAUGUUUAAAUCUCGUAAAUUUCAGCUCUGAGAUAGAGAGCUUUUGAGAAGCGAAGGAAGAGAUUUUGAGCUCUAAAAGAAAGAAAAAAAAAAAAAAAAAGAAAAGAAAAAGAAGAAAAAUUCUUUUCUUGCUCUUCCCUUUUUCUCUUUCUUCUUCUCUCUUUCUCUCCUUUUUGAGGCACUGCUGCUGCUGAUGAGAAAAGGGAUUGGGAAAGAAAAAAAAAUGACAAGGGAAAGAAACGCUUAAAGAGGCAGUUCUCUCCAGACACAUUCUAAAGUUUUCUUUUGGUCAUAAUAAAGGGUUUUUUUUUUUGCAUUUAAUUCCCUCGAAAAGAAAAUUAUUUAGGAUCCUAUCACACCCCAAUAAUAAUAUAAUAGAGACUAAUAAUAAUAAUAAUAAUAAUAAUAACUGAAAUUAAGUAUUUUGGGUCGGCGGUUUAGGCCCAACGAGUACUAGCAGGAAUGUUACAUUUGGUAUUAGAACCGGUUCACCAGUCAGAAAUGUGUCGCGGGUCUAAUAACUGGACUUAAAUAUUUUGUAUCGAUGGUGUGGGUCUAACGAGUUAUUGUUGCUAGUGGACUGGGCCGUACAGAUCAGUUAGAAAAAAUUAAAUAUACUUAACCUUUUGUUAGUUAAUGAGGUGAAUUGAUCUUUUUACCCCUCUUUAAUUAAUAGUUGGGAUUUUUGAAGGAACAUAUUUGUAAUGACAAAAAAGUCAUUUUACUUAUAAAAUAAACAGUAUUUUAACGGUAACAAAUCAGAAAAAUAUAUUUGAAAAUAUUAAGACUUUUGUUAGGACAACAAAUAAAAGUUGAAGUUUGUAGGAAUAUAUUUACAAUUUACUAUAUUUACAGAGAACUGUAUGAAAUUAACUCUUAUAUAUAUAAUCCUAUUUUUACCAUAAGAGUAUCAUAUUAAUAUUUUUAAGUUAAAUAUAGUAACUAAAUCACCGUACUCAUAUUCAAAUUCUAAUCCCUCUUUUUUUAACUUAAAGAACGAUUAAAAAUACAAAAAAGAACACAGUAAUCCAAUUAGUUUGUUUAAAUAUAGUGAUUGAAUCAUUAUGUUCAACUUAAAAACGUUAAUUAAACACUAACGUUACAAGAAAAGGACUAUAUAUGCAUAUAUAUAUAUAUAUAUAUAANNGGGGGACGGUAAAUGCAAAAAAAAAACCAAUAAUAAAGGAAGGAAAAGUCUAGCUGGACUUCCACUAGAAGGUGUACAUCCUAGAACCUUUGGAUCCAUCAGCUGAUAUUAAAUCUUGACUAAAGUGGGUUAUAAGCUCACCCUUUUUUUUCCUCCAAAUCGAAGCGCUACUAACCCUCUCUUUCUCUGUCUCUCGCACCUCUCGCUCUCUUUCUCUGUUUCUCGCACAGCUCACUCUCCCUCUCUCUCGCGCCCUCGUCUCUCUCUCGCUCUCGCGCUCUCCUCUCUCUCUCUCUCUCUCUCUCUCUCUCUCUCUCGCAAGUCCCUCCAUCGGGCAGAAGGUCGGCAGGGAAGGUGCUCGUUCCACACAUUGUCGCGCUCAAUAGAAGCUCCUGUUCUAAGCCGUCUCGGAGCUGUCUCUCGCCCUCGCCUCUCUCCAUUGGUAGGAGGUCGUCUCUCAAUCGCUUGUACGACGGUCCACACCGCUCUCCUGUCUGUUCGAGUUGGCAUUGUCAAUUCAUCAAGAACUUGUUUUCCUAGAUGAAAUAAGAAUUGAUUUUAAUCAAAUCAAAGUGUAUAGUUCAGAGUUUGUUUGUUGUGUGACAUGUCUUGUUUAGAGAUUCAUCCAACGGAAUCGAAAUUCCAUUUUUUUAUUUCGAUUCUAUUAAAUACCAUCUCAAUUCACAUCGACCCUCAUUUUUGAGUUAAAUAACUAAAAAAUAAAAACUAUAACAUAAAAAACUUCAUAUCAUUGUGAUAGAGAGACUUGUAUAUGAAAUUAUGGAGAAAAAUUACUAGCUAAAAUAGGGACAAAAUUGCUUCAGCUGAAACAAAAUUAUAUUUUACCAAAUUCAGAAAAACAGUACCCUAUCAAAGACCUAUAUAUACACCUACUCAAGCAAAAAAAAAAAUUCUAUUAAUACAAAAAUUUUAAACACAGAAAAUUUUCAAUAAAACACAAUUAUAAUAAAAAUAUACUGUUAACUAGUAGAUCAUAAUCCAAAUCAGUAAAAAAAUUAGUCAAAUAAUUCACCAUAAUUAAAAAUUAAUAAUUUACUCAAAAAUGCUACAAAAUAUUGAAAAUUUAAGUGAAUUAAUGAGUUCAAAUGAAGUAAUGACUUCUUAAUUAAUUCAAAUGAAAAAAUACGUUCAAAUUAAAGGAAAAAAUUACAAUUUACUUGCUGCUGGCUUCGUGUGGGGCGUACGCGCGGAUAGGGCUAAGUAUCGCAGCUUUACAACUCCAGCCGAAAAUGGAGGAAGAGACAGUGAGGAUGGCCGCACGACAUGAGUUCGCCAAAAAAUGGGAGAAUGAUGGAAGAAAGAGAGAGAGAGAGAGAGAGAGAGAGAAGAGAAGGGAGCGGGCGGAAGAUGCAACUACUAACCCUCUCUUUCUCUGUCUCUCGCACCUCUCGCUCUCUUUCUCUGUCUCUCGCACAGCUCGCUCUCGCUCCCUCUCAUGCCCUCGCCUCUCUCUCUCUCUCUCUCUCUCUCAGGAUGCCACAUAAGCAAAGAGGGAAAGUGUGAGGCAAAAAAAAAAGAGUGAAGUUAACAUUUUUUUAUUUUUUUUUAAAUCAGAUUAAUUUCAGCCCUUGGAUCUGAUGAUUGUAUGAUCUGCAACCCACAUGGGGUUGUACCAGUAGCAUAGGUGAGGAAGGAAUAAGCAAAAUGCAUGGAGACCCCUCAGUUAUAGUUUAUUUUGAAAUUAAUCUCUAGGAUCUAGUUCAUAGAAUUUCGUUAAACUUCAUUUAAGCUGUCAAAUUUAAAUUUAAUAAAUUAAUGCUUUUAAGUUUUGUUUUUGUGAUAGGCGAUAUCUCCAAAUGGGAAAAAAGAAGAAAUUGACGAGAUUAUUUGCAAUGGGUUUAGAACGAUCUUACGAUCAAAAUAAAAUUGGAGUGAUGUUUUACUCAUUUUUUUCAAAAUAAACUCAACUAGAAAUGCGAAGCAACUAAACUUCAAACUUGAAAAUUCAGAUACAAAUCAUCAAGUUUUUAACUAACUACGUUAGGUACAAACGCUAAUUAAAUUGUGUGGUUACUCAUCAAUUUUUUUGGAAAAAUGUAAAUUUACUUAAUUAAGGUAUUAAAUUUUAUUUUUGUUACAUAAAAUAUUUUAUGUGUUUUGUUGAGGAUUAAUCGAAAUUACAACGUUUGCAUCCUAUUUUCACUCACAGACUACGGUAGCAAAGUUUUUGGUUGCCAUAAUGUAUUCAAAUAUUUAAAUUUAAAAUUUUAAAUGUAAAAUAAAGGAAAUUUAGUUUAUAUUAUAAAUUUUUUUUAAAAAAAAUCAUAACCUAAAUUUAAAACUCAAAAGUCAACAAAUUGUGAAGUAUAAUUUCAAAAUGUUAAACCACAAUAUAAGUUGACAAUCUAAAGUCAAAACAAAAGAACUAAAUUCCCAAUUUAAAUUUGAAUUUGAAAUUAGAAUGUAAAAUAUAAAGUUAAAUUUAAAUUUAUAAUUUGAAUUUUGAUAUGAAUACAACUAUAAAUUCAUAAUUUAAACAUAUAUUGAAAUCUAUAUUCAAAUUUAAAUUUGAUUUUGAAUUCAUUAUUCAAAUUCAAGAUGAAAAAUAGAAUUCACAUAUCAAAUUCACAUUGAAGUUGAAAUUUAAAAUUGAAGUUGAAAUAAAAUUUAGAAAACAAACUUAAAUUUGAAUAAAUGUUGAAAGAAAAUUUUAUUUUAAGUUAAAAAUUUAAAAUCACAACGUGAACUUAACUUUUGAAUUUUUCAUUGAAUUUACAUAUAAUUGUGUUUAAAAUAUUGUGUUUAAUCUUAAAUUCAAAUUGAAGUUAGAAUUUACGGCUAAAACAAUCAUAAGAACUCAAAUUUAUAUUUGAAUUCAACUUUUGAUAAGCUCAAUUUGCCAUUUUGCAUAAUUUGAAGAGACUUUUUACACAAGUAAUUCUCUUUUUAUUAAGUUGGGCAGGAGUGACAGGGUCAUCCUUGAACUUUAUUUUUGGUAAGAAAACAUACAUGCCGACAAUAGAUAUCGUUAAACAUGUCACUCUAGUCUUUAAAAAAUGUAAGCAAGGAAUCACUCCCAAAUAGAAAAGGAAUUUUACAUUUUUUCAAUCCAUAGCUUGAAUGUCAAACACUUGAUUUAAUAGCUUUACACAAGCCCAAAUCAAUCACAAUUAGACAUCAAAGCAUAAGAAAGAUGAUGUGAUUAAAACCGUAAACGAGUUCGGCUUAAGCAUAACCUAUUAUUCCUUGAGACUUGAGCAUAGCUUUUGCUCAAUCAAGUUUCAACUGCAGAUGGAGAAGAAAUUGGCAUUUGAAUCAUCAAAAGCAGGUUUUAUCAUGAGAGAACAAAGGUAGUGAGGAACCUCCCCACAGUGAGGCCAUCAAAUUCACCGUCCAUAUUGCUCUGAAAGCAAGUUAAACAGCCUUAUCAUAAAGAGAGUCCAAACCCUAUUUGGAUGUUACAAUAUGUUAUCCAGUAAUAUCCUAUUCAAUAUGAAUAAUGUUUAAUUAUUAUCACAAGAUAAGAGUGUGAUCAAAUGUCUUGAAUAUAAUGGCAUAUUCAGUCAUAAAGUUAUUUUCAUUUUCAGAAUAAAAUAAAUCACCGGGUAAGUAAAGUAUACUACCUUCUCAAAUCACGGAUGCCAAAGCCUUGAAGGAGCAAAAAUCAAACUUCCACCUUCUAAUUACACAAGAAAAUCUUCAUACCGAAUAAGUCAUCACCAAAUAAGGCUUAAAUUUCUAUUCAUCAUAAGAAAACAUAUCACGGAUGGAAAAUGAAAAAUGGAAAGAAUAAUGCAGUUCAUUGGCAGCAUAAAAACAAGAAGUCUUUCGCAGAAAAGCAUCAAAAGAUUCUAUAAAAGCAUCAUUCUUCAAACCAGCCUGUCAUAAAUAGUUUGAGCUUUUAUGUAAGCUUUCAACUCAGAAGAGCCAGAUGAGAGGUCUGAACUUCAAACAAAUAUAUAGUUUAUGCAAGAUAGAUCUUCGCGCAAAAAGUACUUCACAUAUCAAUCUCAUCAUUUCAUCUUGGCUUCUGUGAAAAGAACAUGCCGAUUCACUCUCGGGUCAUACUUGCGAAACUCGAGCUUCUCAGUGAUUCGGCGUGGAUUCUUCCGCUUAACAUAGAAGAAUCCAGUACCUGCAGCUGAAACCAGCCUGAUGAAUAUUGANGUCUCUCACUGCGAAGACGCGUUCGGGAACCGGUCUCGCCUGCCAGGGACCGGUUGCCUCAGGCCGCCUCAACACUGCUCACUGGGGGACCGGUCUCUCCUUUCAGGGACCGGUCCCCGAGAGUAAAAACUCUCAGGACUUGUCCAGAAUUUCAGUUUUCGAACUUUUUAGGUCGGAAAACAUUCUACAACCCUCCACCAAGUGUGGAAAAGCUCGAAAUAUAUCCAAACACUCGAACCUCGCAAUUUGCAAAGGUCCAGUGCGUUACAAUCGCGCUCAAUAGAAGCUCCUGUUCCAAGCCAUCUCGGAGCUGUCUCUCGCCCUCGCCUUUCUCCAUUGGUAGGAGGUCGUCUCUCAAUCGCUUGUACGAUGGUCCACACCGCUCCCCUGUCCAUUCAAGUUAGCAUUGUCAAUUCAUCCAGAACUUGUUUUUCUAGAUGAAAUAAGAAUUGAUUUUAAUCAAAUCAAAGUGUAUAGUUCAGAGUUUGUUUGUUGUGUAACAUGUCUUGUUUAGAGAUUCAUCCAACGGAAUCGGAAUUUCAUUUUUUAUUUCGAUUCUAUUAAAUACCAUCUCAAUUCACAUCGACCCUCAUUUUUGAGUUAAAUAACUAAAAAAUAAAAAUUAUAACAUAAAAAACUUCAUAUCAUUAUGAUAGAGAGACUUGUAUACGAAAUCAUGGAGAAAAGUUACCAGCUGAAAUAGGGACAAAAUUGCUUCAGCUGAAACAAAAUUAUAUUUUACCAAAUUCAAAAAAACAGUAUCCUGUCAAAGACCUAUAUAUAUACCUACUCAAGCAAAAAAAAAAUCCUAUAAAUACAAAAUAUUGUUAAGCACAGAAAAUUUUCAAUAAAAAUACAAUUAUAAUAAAAAUAUACUGUUAACUAGUAGAUCAUAAUUCAAAUCAGUAAAAAAAAUAGUCAAAUAAUUCACCAUAAUUAAAAAUUAAUAAUUUACUCAAAAAUGCUACAAAAUAUUGAAAAUUUAAGUGAAUCAAUGAGUUCAAAUAAAGCAAUGACUUCUUAAUUAAUUCAAAUAAAAAAAUGCGUUCAAAUUAAAGGAAAAAAUUAUAAUUUACUCGCUGCUGGCUUCGUGUGGGGCGUACGCGCGGAUAGGGCUAAGUAUCGCAGCUUUACAACUCCAGCCGAAAAUGGAGGAAGAGACCGUGAGGAUGACCGCACGACAUAAGUUCGCCAAAAAAUGGGAGAAGGAUGGAAGAAGAGAGAGAGAGAGAGAGAGAGAGAAAGAGUAGAGAUGGAGAAAAGAGGAGGGAGCGGGCGGAGGAUGCAACUACUAACCCUCUCUUUCUCUGUCUCUCGCACCUCUCGCUCUCUUUCUCUGUCUCUCGCACAGCUCGCUCUAGCUCCCUCUCAUGCCCUCGCCUCUCUCUCUCUCUCUCUCUCUCUCUCUCUCUCUCUCAGGAUGCCACAUAAGCAAAGAGGGUAAGUGUGAGGCAAAAAAAAAAAAAGGAGUGAAGUUAACAUUUUUUUUUCUUUUUUUCUAAAUUAGAUCAAUUUCAGCGCUUGGAUCUGAUGGUUGUAUGAUCUACAACCCACAUGGAGUUGUACCGGUGGCAUGGGUGAGGAAGGAAUAAGCAAAAUGCAUGGAGACCCCUCAGUUAUAGUUUAUUUUGAAAUUAAUCUAUAGGAUCUAGUUCAUAGAAUUUCGUUAAACUUCAUUUAAGCUGUCAAAUUUAAAUUUAAUAAAUUAAUGCUUUUAAGUUUUGUUUUUGUGAUAGGCGAUAUCUCCAAAUGGGAAAAAAAGAAGAAAUUGACGAGAUUAUUUUCAAUGUGUUUAGAACGGUCUUACGAUCAAAAUAAAAUUGGAGUGAUGUUUUACUUAUUUUUUUCAAAAUAAACUCAGCUAGAAAAUGCGAAGCAACUAAACUUCAAACUUAAAAAUUCAGAUACAAAUCAUCAAGCUUUUAACUAACUACGUUAGGUACAAACGCUAAUUAAAUUGUGUGGUUACUCAUCAAAUUUUUUGGAAAAAUGUAAAUUUACUUAAUUAAGGUAUUAAAUUUUAUUUUCGUUACAUAGAAUAUUUUAUGUGUUUUCUUGAGGAUUAAUCGAAAUUACAACGUUUGCAUCCUAUUUUCACUCACAGGCUACGGUAGCAAAGUUUUAGGUUGCCAUAAUGUAUUCAAAUAUUUAAAUUUAAAAUUUAAAAUGUAAAAUAAAGGAAAUUUAGUUUAUAUUAUAAAUUUUUUUAAAAAAAAAUCAUAACCUAAAUUUAAACCUCAAAAGUCAACAAAUUGUGAAGUAUAAUUUCAAAAUGUUAAACCACAAUAUAAGUUGACAAUCUAAAGUCAAAACAAAAGAACUAAAUUCCCAAUUUAAAUUUGAAUUUGAAAUUAGAAUGUAAAAUAUAAAUUUAAAUUUAAAUUUAUGAUUUGAAUUUUGAUAUGAAUACAACUAUAAAUUCAUAAUUUAAACAUAUAUUGAAAUAUAUAUUCAAAUUUAAAUUUGAUUUUGAAUUCAUUAUUCAAAUUCAAGAUGAAAAAUAGAAUUCACAUAUCAAAUUCACAUUGAAGUUGAAAUUUAAAAUUGAAGUUGAAAUAAAAUUUAAAAAACAAACUUAAAUUUGUAAAUGUUGAAAGAAAAUUUUAUUUUAAGUUAAAAAUUUAAAAUCACAACGUGAACUUAACUUUUGAAUUUUUCAUUGAAUUUACAUAUAAUUGUGUUUAAAAUAUUGUGUUUAAUCUUAAAUUCAAAUUGAAGUUAAAACUUACGGCUAAAACAAUCAUAAGAACACAAAUUUAUAUUUGAAUUCAACUUUUGAUAUGCUCAAUUUGCCAUUUUGCAUAAUUUGAAGAGACUUUUUACACAAGUAAUUCUCUUUUUAUUAAGUUGGGCAGGAGUGACAGGGUCAUCCUUGUACUUUAUUUUUGGUAAGAAAACAUACGUGGCGACAAUAGAUAUCGUUAAACAUGUCACUCUAGUCUUUAAAAACAUACGUGCCGACAAUAGAUAUCGUUAAACAUUUCACUCUAGUCUUUAAAAAAUGUAAGCAAGGAAUCACUCCCAAAUAGAAAAGGAAUUUUACAUUUUUUCAAUCCAUAGCUUAAAUGUCAAACACUAGAUUUAAUAGCUUUACAGAAGCCCAAAUCAAUCACAAUUAGACAUCAAAGCAUAAGAAAGAUGAUGUGAUUAAAACCGUAAACGAGUUCGACUUAAGCAUAACCUAUUAUUCCUUGAGAUUUGAGCAUGGCUUUUGCUUAAUCAAGUUUCAACUGCAGAUGGAGAAGAAAUUGGCAUUUGAAUCAUCAAAAGCAGGUUUUAUCAUGAGAGAACAAAGGUAGUGAGGAACCUCCCCACAGUGAGACCAUCAAAUUUGCCGUCCAUAUUGCUCCAUCAGAAAGUAAGUUAAACGGCCUUAUCAUAAAGAGAGUUUAAGCCCUAUUUAGAUGUUAGAAUAAUCUCUUUAAGCCCUAUUUAGAUGUUAGAAUAUGUUAUCCAGUAAUAUCCUAUUCAAUAUGAAUAAUGUUUAAUUAUUAUCAGAAAAUAAGAGUGUGAUCAAAUAUCUAGAAUAUAAUAGCAUAUUUGGUCUUAAAGUCUUUUUUUUUUUCAGAAUAAAAUAAAUCACCUUGUAGGUAAAGUAUGCUACCCUCUCAAAUCACGGAUGCCAAAGCCUUUGAAGGAGCAGAAAUAAAACUUCCACCUUCAAAUUACACAAGAAAAUCUUCAUAUCAAAAAAAUAAUCAACAAAUAAGGCUUAAAUUUCUAUUCAUCAUAAGAAAACAUAUCACGGAUGGAAAAUGAAAAUUGGAAAGAAUAAUGCAGUUCAUUGGCAGCAUAAAAACAAGAAGUCUUUCGCAGAAAAGCAUCAAAAGAUUCUAUAAAAGCAUCAUUCUUCAAACCAGCCUGUCAUAAAUAGUUUGAGCUUUUAUGUAAGCUUUCAACUCAGAAGAGCCAGAUGAGAGGUCCGAACUUCAAACAAAUAUAUAGUUUAUGCAAGAUAGAUCUUCGCGCAAAAAGUACUUCACAUAUCUAUCUCAUCAUUUCAUCUUGGCUUCUGUGAAAAGAACAUGCCGAUUCACUCUCGGGUCAUACUUGCGAAACUCGAGCUUCUCAGUGAUUCGCCGUGGAUUCUUCCGCUUAACAUAGAAGAAUCCAGUACCUGCAGCUGAAACCAGCCUGAUGAAUAUUGACCCACCUUUUGCUUUCCCCAUAUUCUUUACUACAAGUACCUUGUGAAGAACAAAAGAGAAAACAAAAACACAAUAAAAAUUAAAAGACUCGAUAUGGAAAUCCUGAGCAUGCAGCGAUAUUUGCCACUAUAAAAAGAGGGAAGUGGUAUAUUAGGAAAAUAAUAUUUAGUCUAACAGAUCAAUGUCACAGUAUACUUUAGUAACUCAUAAGUAUAUCCGAUUUUCAUUGUUAGACUUCGUUUUCGUAAAAAUUGGAACUCCAGGACGAAAAUAGAAUAGAGGUCCCCUCAAGUAGUAAAGUGUUAACGAAACAUUGGGGAUGUAAAUGAAACUGAAGCCAAACUUCAUGGAGUAAAUUAUUACAAUGAAGCUCAAAGGACAAAAUUGAAAUCAGGGUCAAACUUACACAGACUUAUUGAUAACUAAUUCGACCUUUCCUUAAACCAAAGCACAACGAAUUGGUUUCAUUUGAAAGAAAACAAUUUCCCCAAAUAAGCCUCUUGGGUUGUUAAUUUAGCCUUUCAUUGUAUCAUACUACGAAUUUCUGAUAAAGAAUCCCCCCCUUUUUUUCUUUGUUAUCAACCGAUAACCACCAAAGUGAGGAGCUGAAUUAAAGAUUCUCUCAGUUGAUAACCACCGAAGCCAGUUGAUACAAUAAAUCUCAAAAUUAUUCGCAUUAGUUCAUAGUCAUAAGAAUGAUACAGGGUAUAAACCGAAAGCACUAAAAAAAUCGUAGUGUGCCAACCAAUAGAGAAUGCUAAGGACAAUGAAAUAACUCGAACUACAAAAGUUUAAGGUCACUAUCAACAAACAAACGGAGUAAAUUUAUAUCUUCCCCCACCCAACUACUCUUGUUUAUUUAAUGUGAAUAACAUUCUUGUUGGCAUCAUGUUUAAAUUCUUUUAAAAUUACUGUAUAUGAUGCAAUAACACUAGUUAAAUAUUUUGUAACUAAAAGCAUCGCCCACCGUGUUCACAUGUUAUUCCCACUAAGCUUUUAUCUUUAUUAAUGGGCUCAGUAAAUUACAAAAUCCCCUCAACACUAUAGCCCUUGUUUCAUUUAUCUGCCUGCACAAAAAAUUGCAUCAAUUUCAAUCAUAUACAUAACCACUACGCCAAAUAAGUACAAAAUUUGGAAUGAUCGUAAAUUCAGAUGAAAAACAUCAUAAGAAUGAGUUGGUGGAUAAUAUUGAUCAUAUUCAAUGGAGUAUACAGAAAUUUAAAAACUUUUUCGAUAAACAGCCAAUUUUGGUAGUUCUACUAAAGAACAAAGUAACUUUUAUUUAAUUUUAGACCUGUUAAUGGCAACGUAAAUAUAUAUUCAGAAAUAAACACAACAUGAUAUGUGAAAUCAUUCUAGUGAAGUUCUGCACCUAAAUUCAACGAUCACCCAAUACUAUCGGAACUAUUUAACGCAGUGGAGAAAGCGCAAGAUCGAAGUUGAUGCAAUUUUUACAGAGGUGGUAAAUGAAACAUAGGCUAAAGUGCAGGGGGAACUUAAAAGCAACUUAAAUGCAACUAAUACCUCUAUGUAGCCUUUUUCUCAACCUAAUCACAGUAAACAAUAUUAUGAAACUUUAAAUUUGAACCAUGCUUUUAAUGGCUCAAUAGCUAUUAACUGCAAAUAAAAAAGAUUUACUGCCUAUAAAUUACAUAUUACUUACAUCACUUCGAGAUCUAUAUUUACUGAGAAGAUAUAUAGUAUUUAUAAUAUAGUGGGAAAUGUUGGAAUAUCUUAGGAUUUCCUGAGAAACACUACUAUUUAUCACAAAAACUACAUUUUCCCAACACUAAGAUCAACAGCUUAUAGUGCGAGGAUUAAGUUACAAAUGUGCUAAGGCUGAGAAGGUUAUACGAUGAUGGCAAUCAACAAAGUAUGGCCCAAAAUAAUUUAGGAGAUCUUUGAAGCGAAUGUUGCAACCAGUAAGGGACCUAAAUACAGUAUCCCAAAUUACAAAAGGCUAAAAUACAAAAAACCCCUUGUAAAUAUCCGCUUUUUCACUUUUCUCCCCCAACUUUCAAAAAACCUAUAAUUUGUCCGCUUAAAAUUUUAAAAACGUUUUCAGAGGGUUACGGCAUUAAUGGAGAGGAAAAAAUGACCAAUUUAUCCUUACUUAUUUCAUAGAGAAAAAUAAUUUUUUUAAUAUAUUUCUGUCAUUUUUAAAGGCAUUUUCGGUAAAUUAUAAAAAAUGUACGGCAUAGUGACGGAAUCUUGACGGUCUGAAUGUAUCAACUUGAAAUUUUGAGAGAAAAAAAAUACAUAUUUUUGAUAGUCGGAGAAGGAAAAGUAAAAAAGCAGGCAUUUACCGAGAGAUUUUCUGUAGCCAUUACAAAAUCUUAAGGUUUUUCUUAAAAAAAAAAAAACAAAAAAGUAAAACAUAACCUUUAUACUAUGAUGCAUAGCCCAAUUUCAAAACAGCUAAAAACUAAAGGAAAUCUUACGUAACAUGAUCAGCACACACAACUGGUCCCUAAAUCUAUAAAAUAUAAGCUUCUACGCAUAAACUUUUAACUUUUAAGUGAGGCAUUUUCACAAACACAUGCAAGGCAUAGUAAUAACCGCAACCAAAACAUUCAGAUUUCGGAGAAAAGUACGAAACAACAACAGCUUUUCCCUGAAGCAAAUUUUGGGCGCAAAUUUUGGGCUUCAGCUUUUCCCUAAAGCGGCAUACUCACAAACAGAUGGAGGGCCAAAAAAAAAAGAAAAAAAGCAUUAUUAGCUGCAAUCAAUACAUUAAAAUGAUGGACUAAUUAAUGAUUAUGUAUGGAGUAAUAAGAGAAUUAGUGCUGAUGAGGAGAACAGAGGAAGGGAUGGGAAGCUUACGAUGCCGAGCUCGGACUAGAUUACAAAACAAAAUUACUUUUGUGUCGUUGUUCGUGCGUUUUUACGGCCCGCUUGGUUUGGUACACAAGAGCGGUGGAAUUCAAAUUACAUUAUUUUCGAUAUUUUUAUUUUAUUAUAAAUAGAAAAUAGGAAAAACUUUAAAUACCCCCUGUGGUUUCACUCUUUCUCACUUUAGUAUCUUAUGGUUUGAAGGGUACCUUGUGGUUUUGCACUUUCCCACUUUAAUACUACUAACUUGAUACACUUUAAACCACAGAGUACUAAAGUGAGAAAGUGCAAAACCACACGGUAAACCACGGGAUACUAACUUGAUACACUUUAAACCACAGGAUAUUAAAGUGAGAAAGUGUAAAAUCACAGGGUACAAAAGUACUAACUUGACACACUUUAAACCAUAUGGUACUAAAGUGAGAAAGUGCAAAACCAUAAGGUACUAACUUGAUACACUUUAAACCAUAGGGUACUAAAGUGAGAAAGUGUGAAACCAUAUGGUACUAACUUGAUGCACUUUAAACCACAUGAUACUAAAAUAAAAAAGUGCAAAACCACAGAGAGUUUUUUGAAGUUUUCCCUAGAAAAUAAUAUAAUUUAAGUUAUAUUAGAU
rnacentral:lncRNA from 1 species